rnacentral:lncRNA from 1 species
GUUGAGUUGGUUGAUUGUAAGAAAAUGAAUUUCUAACAGAAUUUGAAAUAAACCCUUAAAGCAAGUUUGAUAAGAGAUACAAUAAAUUUGUUCAACAUAAAUAGGAAAAAGUGAAACAAAAUUUUUCAUAAUAAUUUUAUAAGGAUUCUAAUGGUACAGUUUACUGUUUGAGUUGCACCUUAAGUGUUAAGGUGGUGUGUAACUAUACCACCAGAGGUAUUCUGUCUCCUAAUGAAUAUCUGAUGAAAGGGUCAUCAGAUAACUGGUCCAUUGGUUAACGAGUUGGUUAAGUAGAUUUCACUUUUCCCCAGAUUUCCUGUUAUAACAUUUGAAAAAUCAUAAACCUUAAGAUCUUGGAACACAUUUUUGUGUACACAUUUGUUUC